rnacentral:rRNA from 1 species
AGUGGCGCACGGGUGCGUAACGCGUAUGCAACCUACCUUAAUCAGGGGGAUAGCCCGAAGAAAUUCGGAUUAACACCGCAUAAAAACACAGGAUAGCAUUAUCCAAUGUUCAAAUAUUUAUAGGAUUAAGAUGGGCAUGCGUGUCAUUAGCUAGUUGGCGGGGUAACGGCCCACCAAGGCGACGAUGACUAGGGGAUCUGAGAGGAUGACCCCCCACACUGGUACUGAGACACGGACCAGACUCCUACGGGAGGCAGCAGUAAGGAAUAUUGGUCAAUGGAGGCAACUCUGAACCAGCCAUGCCGCGUGCAGGAAGACAGCCCUCUGGGUCGUAAACUGCUUUUAUUCGGGAAUAAACCACAUUACGAGUAGUGUGCUGAAUGUACCGAAGGAAUAAGGAUCGGCUAACUCCGUGCCAGCAGCCGCGGUAAUACGGAGGAUCCAAGCGUUAUCCGGAUUUAUUGGGUUUAAAGGGUGCGUAGGCGGCUUAUUAAGUCAGGGGUGAAAGACGGUGGCUCAACCAUCGCAGUGCCCUUGAUACUGAUGAGCUUGAAUACACUAGAGGUAGGCGGAAUGUGACAAGUAGCGGUGAAAUGCAUAGAUAUGUCACAGAACACCGAUUGCGAAGGCAGCUUACUAUGGUGUGAUUGACGCUGAGGCACGAAAGCGUGGGGAUCAAACAGGAUUAGAUACCCUGGUAGUCCACGCCCUAAACGAUGAAUACUCGCUGUUAGCGAUACACAGUUAGCGGCUAAGCGAAAGCGUUAAGUAUUCCACCUGGGGGAGUACGCCCGCAAGGGUGAAACUCAAAKGAAUUGACGGGGGCCCGCACAAGCGGAGGAGCAUGUGGUUUAAUUCGAUGAUACGCGAGGAACCUUACCCGGGCUUGAAAGUUAGUGAAUCAUUUAGAGAUAGAUGAGUGAGCAAUCACACGAAACUAGGUGCUGCAUGGCUGUCGUCAGCUCGUGCCGUGAGGUGUUGGGUUAAGUCCCGCAACGAGCGCAACCCCUAUGUUUAGUUGCCAGCACGUUAAGGUGGGGACUCUAAACAGACUGCCUGUGCAAACAGAGAGGAAGGAGGGGACGACGUCAAGUCAUCAUGGCCCUUACGUCCGGGGCUACACACGUGCUACAAUGGAUGGUACAGAGGGCAGCUAGCUGGUAACAGUAUGCGAAUCUCACAAAGCCAUUCACAGUUCGGAUAGAGGUCUGCAACUCGACCUCUUGAAGUUGGAUUCGCUAGUAAUCGCGUAUCAGCAAUGACGCGGUGAAUACGUUCCCGGGCCUUGUACACACCGCCCGUCAAGCCAUGGAAGUUGGGGGUACCUAAAGUAUGUAACCGCAAGGAGCGUCCUAGGGUAAAACCGAUAACUGGGGCUAAG